rnacentral:rRNA from 1 species
GACAGAGGGUGCAAACGUUGCUCGGAAUCACUGGGCAUAAAGCGCACGUAGGCCGUUCACUAAGUUCGAUGUGAAAUCCCUGGGCUCAACCCAGGAACUGCGUCCGAUACUGGUUGGCUUGAGACCGGGAGAGGUGAGUGGAACUCCGAGUGUAGAGGUGAAAUUCGUAGAUAUUCGGAAGAACACCAGUGGCGAAGGCGGCUCACUGGACUGGUAUUGACGCUGAGGUGCGAAAGCGUGGGGAGCAAACAGG